UACGUAGGUGGCGAGCGUUGUCCGGAUUUACUGGGCGUAAAGGAUGCGUAGGUGGAUAUUUAAGUGAGAUGUGAAAUACCCGAGCUUAACUUGGGUGCUGCAUUUCAAACUGGAUAUCUAGAGUGCAGGAGAGGAGAAUGGAAUUCCUAGUGUAGCGGUGAAAUGCGUAGAGAUUAGGAAGAACAACCAGCGGCGGAGGCG
rnacentral:rRNA from 1 species